rnacentral:lncRNA from 1 species
AGUCACGAGCUGAGAGUCGCAGGGACGAAGCGUUCAGCCCGGGCGAAGGAGAGUCGUAAUUACACGUCGCCCGUGCACAGUGACGGGCGGCAGCCAGACGUGCCGUGACGGUCAUCUGGGGACACAUGCCAACGGCAGGCACAUCACCACGCCAUGUAACAGGAACUCAUCCCGAGUCAUAGGUCAAUUAUGCUUCAAAACCAACCAAACUCAGAGACAAAGAGAACAGGUUUCUCGUUACCGGAGGGGAGGGGAGGGGAUUGAAUGACCCUCGUUCAAAGGUGCCAACUUUCAGGGGUAAGUUAAAGAAGGGCUGGGCAUGUAACCGACAACACGAGAAAGAGAAUUCUCACUCCUGGGGGUUAUCAACCAACGUUAAGAGCGUCAAUCCUGAGUUCGCAUCACAAGGGAAAAAAAGAGAUCUUUUUUCCCGUUUCUUUCCUUUGGUGUCUGUGUGAGGCGUGGAUGUUGCUGUGCUCUUCCUUCCAUAUGAUGUCCGUAGGUCACAUCCCUGUGCCGGGCGCCUGGCACCUGAGCGUGUCCAGGGCUGCAUGUCCGGCGACGCCUCCAGAGAAACCAACACGCUCCAUGCUGAGUUCUUGGUCCAGAGCCUGCCACCCGGCUCCCUGUCCGAACCUGAGCUCACAGCUCAACGCGUCGACGCGCCAUCGCCAGGCCAGCCCCGGCCUCCACAUCCUGCUUUCCCUGCUUGCUCUGGAACAACCCAGUGAGAUCUCCGGGCACACCCCGGACCCGGGGAGGCCCUGCCCAUGGGUCCCCCCUCUCUGCUCCCCGCCUGUUCCCACAAGCUGGCUGGUGGUGUGUCUCUGCGGCCCCCAGGCACACAGUAACCGCCGCCCCCCACCUCCCGGGACCUGGGGUAUAACAUACAUCUUCCUUCCGAGGCUCUGCCUCGGCUUCCAACAUUUCAGCGGCAGGAAGGACAGGCAGGUCUGCCCCAGAGAGAGUUCUGGAAACGGAGCCUGUGUGCCUCCCCCCUCACCGGCUCUGAGGGUGCCCCACCUCCUAGGAGAUGGGCGGACAAGCACGGCCUCCUGCGUGGGCCUGGGGCAGCCCUGGGCGGCAUCGUCACAGGCCCACUUUAUUCACAGCAAGUGCAGGAUGCUCUUGAUCCAAAUCCGUCACCGGGUGUGUGCCAACCACGGGCUUCGCUGGGAAGACAGGAAGCGCCCAGGGAGGCUGAGGACAAGGAUUAGCCAGCAGGGGACAGCGAUGCGGGGAGGCAGAGAGGCCUGGCGUCCACGUGUGGGGCGGGGUGGGGGGGUGGGCAGAGAAGGAGGGGGGCAGGAGAGAGCAGGGAGCUCCGUCCCGGCUUUCCCCCCCUCCAGGGUGCCUAAGGAAGAAAGAGGCUGGAUUUCUGCCAAUCGCUCCUUCCCACCCAGGGCUUGGCGACACUCACCCUGCAGGUCUGGAACUCAAGGUCCUGGGUGUGGGCUGACCAGUGAAUGAGGGUGGAGGCAGGACAGGCCAGCCCAGCCCCGCAAGCCUCUGGGUGGGGCUCAGGGCCCCUGGGGGACAUAAUAGCGGCCCCUUGGGAAGUGGCUUCAGACGCUGGCUCUCUGAAAGGAGUCUGAAGCUGGUGGUGAGCGGGUGCAGAGGGUCAGCCGGGGAAGGCCAGGGUUUGGAGAGGGGAGGCAGGAGCCUGAGCCGGGUACGACACAGGGGCCCACGGACCCGCGCUGUCUCCAGGAGCCAUGAAAGGCCCCUGGCUCGUCUUGCUGGUCGUGCUGCUCUGCUCAGAGCUUGGUGAGUGCCAGGGCAGCGGAGGGACCUGCCUGGGGGGCCACGGGCGGCAGUUCCCCUGUGAGUGUGAGCGCGUGGCGGGGAGGGGGGGCGGUCUGCCCUCCAGGACCUGAGAGGGUGGGAAGGGGCCACCCUUCUGAGGGGCCCAGCGGCCAUCGCCCAUGCAGCCGUGGUCCUGGUGAGUAGGGGUCAGAACCCAGCCUUCCCACCCUCUGUGUCCCUUGGGCCUGUGUCCCUUUCCGGCCUAGCCUGGAGCCUGUCGUGCUACAUCUGUUCCGGCAUCGACGACAUCAGACAUUGUCAGACCACCCAGUGCAACUGGGACUCUUCGAUCUGCUUUAAGAGCAAGAUGACCGUGGCCACGGCCAGUGGGAAGCGGGAGACCUACUUCAUGAGCUGUGCCCCUUCCUGCCAGGCGGCUACCCAGAUGAUGCAGGAGCUGGCAGCCACGACAAACCCCAAGUCUGAAGUGCAGGACGUGGCCUGCUGCCAAAAUGACCUGUGCAACACCGCCGUGGCCCCGGCGGGGCGCAGCCUCUGGGCCCUGGCUGGGGGACUCCUGUUCAGCCUGGGCCCCACCCUCCUCUGGGCCCUGCAGUGAGGACCCCCGUGACGAAGACUCAGAGGGGCAGGGGCCCUGUUCCCGAGCCUGGUCCCAGGGGGCAGUACCGCGGGCCCAGCUCAGCAGGCUCUUGCACACGCAGGUGCGCACACACGCACACACUCAGAUGCAUGCGUGCGCAGGACCUCCCCCCAGGCCCACUGCCACCCCUGGGCCCCCGCAGCCCACCCACCCGACCAGCCCAGCCGCCGGCACCCAGCGAGCCUGCACAUUUGCAAAAACCAUCAAUCAACCACCCGACCGAGAAGCAGAGGCCACCGGGCCCUGGCUGGACCGGCCACUAGGAGGGCAGAGCCACAGCCCGCCUGGCCUGGGUCCGGCUACCUGUGCGCCAGCAUCCUCUGCGGAAAAUAAACCCCUUCCACAUUC